GACGAACGCUGGCGGCGUGCCUAAUACAUGCAAGUAGAACGCUGAAGCUUGGUGCUUGCACCGAGCGGAUGAGUUGCGAACGGGUGAGUAACGCGUAGGUAACCUGCCUGGUAGCGGGGGAUAACUAUUGGAAACGAUAGCUAAUACCGCAUAACAGUAGAUAUCGCAUGAUAGCUACUUGAAAGGUGCAAAUGCACCACUACCAGAUGGACCUGCGUUGUAUUAGCUAGUUGGUGAGGUAACGGCGCACCAAGGCAACGAUACAUAGCCGACCUGAGAGGGUGAUCGGCCACACUGGGACUGAGACACGGCCCAGACUCCUACGGGAGGCAGCAGUAGGGAAUCUUCGGCAAUGGACGGAAGUCUGACCGAGCAACGCCGCGUGAGUGAAGAAGGUUUUCGGAUCGUAAAGCUCUGUUGUAAGAGAAGAACGAGUGUGAGAGUGGAAAGUUCACACUGUGACGGUAUCUUACCAGAAAGGGACGGCUAACUACGUG
rnacentral:rRNA from 1 species